CUGCUUCACUCGCUCACACAUAAACAAUCUCCCUCUCCUCAGACGCGCUCCUUUAUCUCUCCUGAUAGAGUUUGACUCUGAAUCAUCAUCAUGUCUUCAAACAUGAGCCUCAAGACGAUGAAACGGACCGUUGAGCAGCUCAAACUCGAAGCCAGCAUGGAGAGAAUCAAAGUUUCUCAAGCAGCUGCGGAUCUACUGCAGUACUGCCUCCAGAACGCCAGUGAAGACGCGCUCCUGUUCGGCGCCCCAAUCAGCUGUAAGCUGGUCAGGACGCUGUGCUCAUGCACCCUGCUCUAGAAUGAAGGAGAGAGGAGGCUGAUCAAUGGGA